UGGCCGUAAACGAUGUGGACUUGGUGUUGGAAUGGCUCAGAGCUGCACCAGUGCCGAAGGGAAGCUGUUAAGUCCACCGCCUGGGAAGUACGGUCGCAAGACUGAAACUUAAAGGAAUUGGCGGGGGAGGCACAACAACGGGUGGGAGCUUGCGGUUUAAUUUGGAUUCAACGCCGGAAAUACUUACCGGGACCGGACAGCAACAUGAAGGCCAAGCUGAAGACUUUGUCCGGAUUAGCUGAGAGGUGGUGCAUGGCGUAGUCGUGU
rnacentral:rRNA from 1 species